GCACCCCCAUUGCAACCAAUUAAUUAAAAGUUUUGACACAAAAAUGAAAAAAAUUAGUGGUGUCUAGAACGAGAAAUCUAGGAAAAACACUAUCCAAUCAUACUGAGCGGACCGUUGACAACGAUUGGAUUCUGAUUACGUCUAUCAAACUGCACUCUGCUCCUCCCUCCCCCUCCUUCUCCCUCUGCGCGUACCCUUCUUCGUGAACGUGCUGAUUGCGUGUGCUCGCCCUGAAGCUUGCCAGGAAGCUAGAGCCAGCUUGGUUAGCACGUAGCAUUCCUAAACGUAUAGUUAGCAUACAAGAUACGGCAACGACGAUUUGAACAUUAUGGCAGAAAAGGUGCCAACAACGGGCCGAAAAAGAAAGACUGUGUUUUGAGAAGGCUUCUGCCAAAAAAAGGGCAGACGAAGACAGCCAAGACCCGAGUGGCCAUCGGUGCUGCUGCAUUUGUUCGAUGGCGUCAGCUAAAGGAACAGCAAGAGCUGCAAACGGAUGCCAUGGUGGCCCUAUUUCUACUGGAUAGGUAAGAUUACAUUAUGUCUUUAUAAUGUUUGAGAGCACUUGUUAAUGCUUUAGGACAGUAUGUUGUCGUUUCUAACAAGUAUUCAGCCAGUGAGAGGAUAAAACGAUGUAGACGAGCUGCAAUGCCCCUGCAUGUUUGGCUAAGUUAGCUAACACCGAAGUAUGUCAACGUUACUGCUUUCAAUCGCUAAUCAAAGUUAUUUGUAUAUCCGUGAAGAUUUUUCCCCAUGGCAUUUAUUUCAUGCUUCUAAACUAUUUACUAACUUGAUGACUCUUAUUUAUUGUUUUGUUAGUUACGUGAAGGGCACAACAUCUACACCCGUGAAACAAGGUUUCAAGAGACCCCCUCCUCCCCCGUAUCCACAAUUCUGACAGCUCUGACACCUAAAGGACCGUUCAAAGACAGUGGCAUACACCAUUCUUUAGACAUCUAGCAUGGAUCAAAGAACUUGAGCAAAAGACUUGUAGCGGCAGGGCAGCAAAAGGGAUGCUGUGACUUACUGACAUGGAGCAAAGAUGUCUGCAACCAUUUCUGGCAUUGUUGCAAAGCUGCAAGCUGUUAUGAAGAGUUCAUGGACCUGUGGAUGGGACUCCUGCACCACGUCACAGGAGAACAUGAGUGGGCCCUUGGUGCCUGCCACCACGGCCCUUUGGAGGACAGCAGAGAGAAAGACUGGAUACAACAGGGCAGUUUGGCACACCAGAGAUUGUGGGAAAUUGUUCUUGAGGCAAGCUGGCUGAAGAACAUCGUCAAGUAUCUGCGUUUCAGCACAGGCCUCUCCACCCACAGACUAGGCCCCACAGUGUUGCAGCAUGUGCCUGACCUACUAGCCAGCACUGACCAGAUGCAUCAGCUAUGAGGAAACAGUUUCCCUGAAAUUGUACAUAGUUGUAUUUAAGAUUUUGUAUUUUGUUAUUAGUAUUAUAUGGUUGUUUUUGUUUGUUUGUUUCCCCCCAAAUAUCUCAAUAAACAGUUGUUAAAGGUAGGGUUGGAGAUCCUGGAAAACGAUUCCAGCAAAGCUGCAUUUUGAAAAUACACAGGUCAAAAGUACCAGCCCCUUUCUUCAGACUUCCCCCCGAAGCCACGCCUCCAGAGUACAGGAACGCGCAAUGCUUGUUCACGAGCAGGAAAGUGCACGAGCUCUGUUCUGGUUCACGAGCACGAAGGUGCACGAGCGCUGUUCUGACCUGUCCAUGGUUCUGAAAGCAAGCAUCGAUUGGCUUUGGCUAACUUUUGCUAACUUUUUCUCA